rnacentral:rRNA from 1 species
AUGACCUACGGGAGGCAGCAGUGGGGAAUAUUGCACAAUGGGGGAAACCCUGAUGCAGCGACGCCGCGUGAGUGAAGAAGUAUUUCGGUAUGUAAAGCUCUAUCAGCAGGGAAGAUAAUGACGGUACCUGACUAAGAAGCCCCGGCUAACUACGUGCCAGCAGCCGCGGUAAUACGUAGGGGGCAAGCGUUAUCCGGAUUUACUGGGUGUAAAGGGUGCGUAGGUGGCAGGGCAAGUCAGAUGUGAAAGCUAGGGGCUCAACCCCUAAACUGCGCUUGAAACUGUGGAGCUUGAGUGAAGUAGAG